rnacentral:rRNA from 1 species
UACGUAGGGUGCAAGCGUUGUCCGGAAUUAUUGGGCGUAAAGAGCUCGUAGGCGGUUUGUCGCGUCUGCUGUGAAAACUCGGGGCUUAACUCCGGGCCUGCAGUCGAUACGGGCGGACUUGAGUGUUGCAGGGGAGACUGGAAUUCCUGGUGUAGCGGUGAAAUGCGCAGAUAUCAGGAGGAACACCGGUGGCGAAGGCGGGUCUCUGGGCAACUACUGACGCUGAGGAGCGAAAGCGUGGGGAGCGAACAGG